rnacentral:rRNA from 1 species
UACGAAGGGGGCUAGCGCUGCUCGGAAUCACUGGGCGGAAAGGGUGCGUAGGCGGGUCUUUAAGUCAGGGGUGAAAUCCUGGAGCUCAACUCCGGAACUGCCUUUGAUACUGAAGAUCUUGAGUCCGGGAGAGGUGAGUGGAACUGCGAGUGUAGAGGUGAAAUUCGUAGAUAUUCGCAAGAACACCAGUGGCGAAGGCGGCUCACUGGCCCGGAACUGACGCUGAGACGCGAAAGCGUGGGGAGCAAACAGG